CUGGAGGAUCAACAACCAGUGGAGGAUCAACAACCCCUGGAGGAUCAAUAACCACUGGGGGUUCCACAACUGGAGGAUCAACAACCACCGGAGGAUCAACAACCACUGGUGGAUCAUCAACUAGGGAAGGUGUGACAAGCACCGGAGAUUCAUCAAUAACUGGAGGUUCAGCCACAACUGGUAGUUCAACAAUGACUCAACGUUCAUCAACCACUGGAGUUUCAACAACAACUGGUGGAUCGACAACUGGCAGUUCUACAACAACUGGAGGAUCAACAGCUGGAGGGUCAACAACAGCUGGGGGAUCAACAACCACAGAAGGAUCAACUACUGGAGGGUCAGUAACAACAGCAGUGUCAACAUUAGAUGUGGAAUCAACAACCACUGGAGGAUCAACAACCACAGGGGGAUCAACAAUGACUGCAGGAUCAACAACCACUGGAGGAUCAACAACCAUUGGAGGAUCAACAACCACUGCAGUACCAACAACCACUGGCGGUCCAACAACAACCGCUUUAAUCGCAACUCCUAAUCCAGUUGUAGUUUUCACGGCCACAAUAGUAGAGCCAUUCACUGCAGGAGCAACAACCACUGGAGGAUCAUCAACCACUGGAGGAUCAUCAACCACUGGAGGAUCAUCAACCACUGAGGGUUUAACAGCUGGAGGUUCAACAACCACUGGAGGAUCAACAACCACUGGAGGAUCAACAUCAACAGGAAGUUCAACAACAGAAGUAUCAACAACAACAGGAGGAUCAACAACCACUGGAGGAUCAACAACAACUGGAGGAUCAACAACCACUGGAGGAUCAACAACCACUGGAGGAUUAACAACCACUGCAGGAUCAACAACCACUGGUGGAUCAACAACCACUGCAGGAUCAACAACCACUGGAGGAUCAACAACCACUGGAGGAUCAACAACCACUGGAGGAUCAACAACCACUGGAGGAUCAACAACCACUGGUGGAUCAACAACCACUGGAGGAUCAACAACCACUGGUGGAUCAUCAACUACGGAAGGUGUGACAAGCCCCGGAGAUUCAUCAAUAACUGGAGGUUCAGCCACAACUGGUAGUUCAACAAUGACUCAACGGUCAUCAACCACUGGAGUUUCAACUACCACUGGAGGAUCGACAACUGGCAGUUCUACAACAACUGGAGGAUCAACAGCUGGAGGGUCAACAACAGCUGGGGGAUCAACAACCACAGAAGGAUCAACUACUGGAGGGUCAGUAACAACAGCAGUGUCAACAUUAAACGUGGAAUCAACAACCACUGGAGGAUCAACGACAACAGGAAGUUCAACAACAGGAGUAUCAACAACAACAGGAGGAUCAACAACCACUGGAGGAUCAACAACAACAGCAGGAUCAACAACCACUGGAGGAUCAACAACCACUGGAGGAUCAACAACCACUGGAGGAUCAACAACCACUGGAGGAUUAAUAACCACUGCAGGAUCAACAACCACUGAGGGUUUAACAGCUGGAGGAUCAACAACCACUGGAGGAUCAACAACCACUGGAGGAUCAACAACCACUGGAGGAUCAACAUCAACAGGAGUAUCAACAACAGGAGGAUCAACAACCACUGGAGGAUCAACAACCACUGGUGGAUCAUCAACCACUGCAGGAUCAUCAACUACGGAAGGUGUGACAAGCACCGGAGAUUCAUCAAUAACUGGAGGUUCAGCCACAACUGGUAGUUCAACAAUGACUCAACGGUCAUCAACCACUGGAGUUUCAACAACAACUGGUGGAUCGACAACUGGCAGUUCUACAACAACUGGAGGAUCAACAGCUGGAGGGUCAACAACAGCUGGGGGAUACACAACCACAGAAGGAUCAACUACUGGAGGGUCAGUAACAACAGCAGUGUCAACAUUAAACGUGGAAUCAACAACCACUGGAGGAUCAACAACAACAGGAAGUUCAACAACAGGAGUAUCAACAACAACAGGAGGAUCAACAACCACUGGAGGAUCAACAACAACUGGAGGAUCAAUAACCACUGGAGGAUCAACAACAACUGGAGUAUCAACAACCACUGGAGCAUCAACAACCACUGGAGGAUUAAUAACCACUGCAGGAUCAACAACCACUGAGGGUUUAACAGCUGGAGGAUCAACAACCACUGGAGGAUCAACAACCACUGGAAGAUCAACAACCACUGGAGGAUCAACAUCAACAGGAGUAUCAACAACAGGAGGAUCAACAACCACUGGAGGAUCAACAACCACUGGUGGAUCAUCAACCACUGCAGGAUCAUCAACUACGGAAGGUGUGACAAGCACCGGAGAUUCAUCAAUAACUGGAGGGUCAGUAACAACAGCAGUGUCAACAUUAAACGUGGAAUCAACAACCACUGGAGGAUCAACAACAACAGGAAGUUCAACAACAGGAGUAUCAACAACAACAGGAGGAUCAACAACCACUGGAGGAUCAACAACAACUGGAGGAUCAAUAACCACUGGAGGAUCAACAACAACUGGAGUAUCAACAACCACUGGAGCAUCAACAACAACAGAAGUAUCAAUAACAACUGGAGGUUCAACAACCACUGAAGCCCCAAUAAUUACCCCUCCAGUUUUUGUUAUCACCGCAGUGAUAAUGCAGACAUUUAUUCCUGCUUAUAAUAAUAAUACCUCACCCGAAUAUCAAGCACUUGAGACCAAAGUUGUGAUAACGUUUAACGCAAUCUACACAGCUCAAUUUGGCGACCGGUUCAUUCGGACAAUUGUCAUCGGAUUCAGGAUCCCUGCGACUCGAUCGACCAAUACGGAAACAGAAGUAGAGCUUGAGUUUCAGCCAACUACUUUGUCACAACCGAUCCCACACGCUGACGAUGUUCGAAGUACCCUGGUCGAAGGACUGAACAACCUAAACAUAACCUCUAACCUCACUGUAGAUACGGAAAGCAUUACGAUCACAAGUAUGUAAACCCUUUGCAGGAUCUUUCAUAACAUUGUUCGCCUACAAUUUGGGAUAACAGCAACCACAGGGAAUACAGACAGCCAAUUGUAAAAAUUUGGGGCUUCAUUAAAUACCCUUUACUUUGGUUUUACUUGCUUGACAGGAAUUUGAGGGGAAAUGCAAGUUAAUAAGUGCUACUCUUUGGUAAAUACACAUUUCUGAGGCAAAUUCCAUGUCUUCUACAUUCUAGUAGCAUUCAAACAAAAUGUCAGUUCAAGGUGCUUUAAGUAAGCAGAAAUCUGACGAAAGACCCAUAAAAAGAGGGAUAUUGUUUGAAGGGAGCAACCACUGAAUGUUUUACCAAGGCAUAAUAAUUUCAGGGCUGGAUAUCGUAAAACAGAUAUGAUGAAUUUAACCACAUUGUUUCACUAUACAUUUCAGAGUUACUGUUUUAAAGAGGUUUUAAAUCAUUACAAAUAGCGUUCAAACUUUUCUGACCUUCAAAUUUUGCUUUUGCAGAAACUACAACUACUACAACAACUACCAGUUCACCAACGACUACUGCAGGAUUAUCAACAACCACUGGAGGUUCAACCACCACAGGAGGAUCAACAACCACUGGAGGAUCCACAAUGACUGCAGGACAAACAACAACGGCAGGAUCAACAACCACUGGAGGGUCGACAACCACUGGAGGAUCAACAACGACUGCAGGACCAACAACCACUGGAGAAUCAACAACCACUGGAGGAACAACAUCUACUGAAGUAUCAACAACAGCUGGAGGAUCAACAACCACUUCAGUAUCAACAACCACUGGAGGAUCAACAACUACUGGAGGAUCAACAACCACUGGAGGAUCAACAACCACUGGAGGAUCAACAAGCACUGAAGGAUCAACAACCACUGCAGUACCAACAACCACUGGAGGAGCAACGACCACUGGAGUAUCAACAACAGUUGGAGGAUCAACAACCACUGCAGUACCAACAACCACAGCAGUACCAACAACCACUGGAGAAUCAACAACCACUGGAGAAUCAACAACCACUGGAGGAUCAACCACCACUGCAGUACCAACAACCACUGGAGGAGCAACAACCACUGGAGCAUCAACAACCACAGAAGGGUCGACAACCACUGGAGGAUCAACAACCACUGGAGGAUCAACAACCACUGGAGGAUCAACAACCACUGGAGUAUCAACAACCACUGGAGGAUCAACAACAACUGGAGGAUCAACAACAACUGAAGCCCCAAUAAUUACCCCUCCAGUUUUUGUUUUCACCGCAGUGAUAAUACAGAUAUUUAUUCCUGCUUAUAAUGAUAAUACCUCUCCCGAAUAUCAAGCACUUGAGACCGAAGUUGGGAUAACGCUUAACGCAAUCUACACAGCUCAAUUUGGCGACCGGUUCAUUCGGACAAUUGUCAUCGGAUUCAGGAUCCCUGCGACUCGAUCGACCAAUACGGAAGCAGAAGUAGAGCUUGAGUUUCAGCCAACUACUUCGUCACAACCGAUCCCACAGGCUGACGAUGUUCGAAGUACCCUGGUCGAAGGACUGAACAACCCAAACAUAACCUCUAACCUCACUGUAGAUACGGAAAGCAUUACGAUCACAAAAACUCCAACUACUACAACAACUACCAGUUCACCAACGACUGCUGCAGGAUUAUCAACAACCACUGGAGGUUCAACCACCACAGGAGGAUCAACAACCACUGGAGGAUCCACAAUGACUGCAGGACAAACAACAACGGCAGGAUCAACAACCACUGGAGGGUCGACAACCACUGGAGGAUCAACAAUGACUGCAGGACCAACAACCACUGGAGAAUCAACAACCACUGGAGGAACAACAUCUACUGAAGUAUCAACAACAGCUGGAGGAUCAACAACCACUUCAGUAUCAACAACCACUGGAGGAUCAACAACUACUGGAGGAUCAACAACCACUGGAGGGUCAACAACAGCUGGAGGAUCAACAACCACUUCGGUACCAACAACCACUGGAGGAUCAACAACCACUGGAGGAUCAACAACCACUGGAGGAUCAACAACCACUGCAGGUUCAACCACAACUGGAGGUCCAACAACCACUGGAGGAUCAACAACCACUGGAGGAUCAACAACAACUGGAGGAUCAACAACCACUGGAGCAUCAACAACCACUGGAGGAUCAACAACCACUUCAGUACCAACAACCACUGGAGGAUCAACAACCACUGGAGGAUCAACAACCACUGGAGGAUCAACAACCACUGCAGGUUCAACCAGAACUGGAGGUCCAACAACCACUGGAGGAUCAACAACCACUGGAGGAUCAACAACAACUGGAGGAUCAAUAACCACUGGAGCAUCAACAACAACAGAAGUAUCAACAACAACUGGAGGUUCAACAACCACUGAAGCCCCAAUAAUUACCCCUUCAGUUUUUGUUAUCACCGCAGUGAUAAUGCAGACAUUUAUUCCUGCUUAUAAUAAUAAUACCUCACCCGAAUAUCAAGCACUUGAGACCGAAGUUGUGAUAACGUUUAACGCAAUCUACACAGCUCAAUUUGGCGACCGGUUCAUUCGGACAAUUGUCAUCGGAUUCAG